AGAGCUUAGGAAAAUUCAGAUGCAGAAACAGGAUUGAAGAAGGAAACAUUUUGAAAACAGGUUGAGGAGAAAUGAUCAUUUGGGAACAUGUAACAAGGUGGUAGAUGAGGGUCAUCUGUGCUGUAGUAAUAAUAUGGUGCAGAUGAAAGGAGAGGAAGUAAAUGAUGUGUAAUAAAGAAUUUGACCUGGCCCUAAGGGGUCUGGCCUUUGCCUACAGCUUCUGAAAGGUAAUCUAGGUUACACCUCAUAGGAGUAUCUCUGUUUUGGGUGAGAGCUAGUCACAAUGGAUUUCAGGGUGGGGCUGACCACACCUGACAGUCUUAGCCAUGCCAGAGAAACCACACGAUUUAGAGCGAGGGGCAUUGAGUCACCUGGGAUCAGGCCACUUGGCAGCUGAGAUCAACCACCCAGGGGGAGAGGACACAGAGAAGCUGUGACUUUGGAACCCUCCAGGACUUCAUCCUAUGUGUUGCUUCCCUUGGCUGAUUUUAAUCCGUAUCCUUUCCCUGUAACCAUAACCCAUAAAGAGGAUUAACGGGCCCCAGCAGCAAAUACAAGUUCCUCUGCUUGCCAACCCUUUUCAUCAGCUGCACUGUGCACCCCAGUGAGCUCUGCCGAACCUGCUGCCAUCUG